CCCCCCGGCAGUGGCGGGCAGCAGCUGCCGGGACGGUGCCAGACCCCUGGAUAGCACUUUAUGGGCGGCUGCCGUCCCGGAGCUGUCGCCAGCCUUGCCCUCUGGCCGGCUCAUGAGCAGGGGCAAUACUCCCUGGGUGGAAGGGGCAACCCGAGCGUCCUGGGGAAGCUCAGAGCCAAACAAGCACCAAGGGCUGGUGGCUUCGCAGGCGGGAGGGCUGGCGUGGCUCUGCCCGGGACCUGAGGGCGCUAGUAGCGUGUCCAAGACACUGUCCAGCAGCCCGGUGUCUUUUUCCGAGGGUCUAGAGCUGCCACCUCCAGCACCCUCUGUAGCUUCAACUCUGGGAUACGCCCCCUCCACGUCUGACAGCGACUGCUGGUCCUGCGUCUUCCCGUCUGGUUCCUGUCCCUGGCAGGGCCCAGGGAAGAGUAGCCCGUCCAGGGAGAGGGGUAUGGCCGAGGCUGCGGGCGACGCUUCCGAGGUCCUCUAUGCCAGGUAUGGGGAAUACAGUGGAAGACUUGGUCCAAGAUGCCAGGAUGGGCAGUCACCAGAGGAAAGAAGUGUUCGCAAUGGAAGACACUGGUAAAAAGACUUGUAAUGACCAGUCUUAUUAAUUAG
rnacentral:lncRNA from 1 species